UACGUAGGGACCUAGCGUUGUCCGGAAUCAUUGGGCGUAAAGAGCGUGUAGGCGGCCCGGUAAGUCCGCUGUGAAAGUCGGGGGCUCAACCCUCGGAUGCCGGUGGAUACUGUCGGACUAGAGUACGGAAGAGGCGAGUGGAAUUCCUGGUGUAGCGGUGAAAUGCGCAGAUAUCAGGAGGAACACCGAUUGCGAAGGCAGCUCGCUGGGACGUUACUGACGCUGAGACGCGAAAGCGUGGGGAGCAAACAGG
rnacentral:rRNA from 1 species